rnacentral:rRNA from 1 species
AAGUCAUAACAAGGUUUCUGUAGGUGAACCUGCAGAAGGAUCAUUAUUGAAUUGUAAAAAUGGGGAGUUGCUUUCGAGCACUCCUCUACAUUCUUUAUUCCUAACACCUGUGAAUCGUUGCUGAGCUCGCUCAGUGGCACCUUUUUUAUACACACACAUAAAAGUUUAGAACGUAAAAAUUAUAUAACAAAUACAACUUUUGACAACGGAUCUCUUGGUUCUCCCAUCGAUGAAGAACGCAGCGAAAUGCGAUAAGUAAUGUGAAUUGCAGAAUUCAGUGAAUCAUCGAAUCUUUGAACGCACCUUGCGCUCCUUGGUAUUCCUUGGAGCAUGCCUGUUUGAGAGUCUUGAAUAUCUCCGCUUUUAUGUUUUUUAAAAUAUAACAAGUCGGGUCCUUGGGUCUGCUUGCGGUUUGUUACAAACACAAGCUUACCUUAAAUGAAUUAGCUGGACUUCAGCAGAGUUGUUAAGUAACAUUUUGAACUCUCGUAAUAUGAAGUCUGCUUUCUAACCUAUCUCUUUCGAGAUAAUUUUUCUAUUUUGGCCUCAAAUCAGGUAGGACUACCCGCUGAACUUAAGCAUAUCAAUAAGCGGAGGAAAAGAAACUAACAAGGAUUCCCCUAGUAACGGCGAGUGAAGCGGGAUGAGCUCAAAUUUGAAAGCUGGCAGUAAUGUCCGCGUUGUAAUCUCGAGAGUUGUUUUCCGCGCUGGACCACGUACAAGUUCCUUGGAAUAGGAUGUCAUAGAGGGUGAAAAUCCCGUACUUGAUGUGGACGCCCAGUGCUUUGUGAUACAUCUUCGAAGAGUCGAGUUGUUUGGGAAUGCAGCUCAAAAUGGGUGGUAAAUUCCAUCUAAAGCUAAAUAUUGGGGAGAGACCGAUAGCGAACAAGUACCGUGAGGGAAAGAUGAAAAGCACUUUGGAAAGAGAGUUAAACAGUACGUGAAAUUGUCAAAAGGGAAGCAUUUGAAGUCAGACGUGUAUUGUAGUAUUCAGCCUUGCUUUUGCUUGGUGUAUUUGCUAUUUUACAGGCCAACAUCAGUUUUGAAUGACGGAUAAGGGUAUUAAGAAUGUGGCAUCCUCGGAUGUGUUAUAGCUUUUUACUGGAUACGUCGUUUGGGACUGAGGAACGCAGCUCGCCGUAAGGCAGACCUUCGGGUACUUUCGAGCUUAGGAUGUUGGCGUAAUGGCUUUAAGUGACC